AUUGAACGCUGGCGGCAGGCCUAACACAUGCAAGUCGAACGAGUGGCGGACGGGUGAGCAAUGUCUGGGAACUUGCCUGAUGGAUGGGGAUAACUACUGGAAACGGUAGCUAAUAACGCAUACCAGCGGAUGUGCCCAGAUGGGAUUAGCUAGGAGGUGGGGGAACGGCUCACCUAGGCGACGAGCCCUACCUGGUCUGAGAGGAUGACCAGUCACACUGGAACGGAGACACGGUCCAGAGUCCUACGGGAGGCAGCAGUGGGGAAUAUUGCACAAGGGGCGCAAGCCUGAUGCAGCCAUGCCGCGUGUGUGAAGAAGGCCUUCGGGUUGUAAAGCACUUUCAGCGGGGAGGCGUUACCCGCAGAAGAAGCACCGGCUAAAUCCGUGCCAGCAGCCGCGGUAAUAC
rnacentral:rRNA from 1 species